CAACCCUCAAGCUCUGCUUGGUGUUGGGCCCUGUCAGCGAUGACUGGCCCUAAAGCUAGUGGUGGUGCCGUGAGGUCCUGAGCGUAGUACUUCUUCUCGCUUCAGGGCCCUCGCGUGCGUCCCCCCGAACCUUAUUCUUUCA
rnacentral:misc_RNA from 1 species